ACUCAAAUGAAUUGACGGGGACCCGCACAAGCGGUGGAUGAUGUGGUUUAAUUCGAUGCAACGCGAAAAACCUUACCUACCCUUGACAUGUCAAGAAUUUCGCAGAGAUGUGGAAGUGCUCGAAAGAGAACUUGAACACAGGUGCUGCAUGGCCGUCGUCAGCUCGUGUCGUGAGAUGUUGGGUUAAGUCCCGCAACGAGCGCAACCCUUGUCAUUAGUUGCUACGAAAGGGCACUCUAAUGAGACUGCCGGUGACAAACCGGAGGAAGGUGGGGAUGACGUCAGGUCCUCAUGGCCCUUAUGGGUAGGGCUACACACGUCAUACAAUGGCCGGUACAGAGGGUCGCCAACCCGCGAGGGGGAGCCAAUCCCAGAAAACCGGUCGUAGUCCGGAUCGCAGUCUGCAACUCGACUGCGUGAAGUCGGAAUCGCUAGUAAUCGCGGAUCAGCUUGCCGCGGUGAAUACGUUCCCGGGUCUUGUACACACCGCCCGU
rnacentral:rRNA from 1 species